rnacentral:lncRNA from 1 species
ACUCGGUAGCUGCAGCUCCCGGAGCACAGCGGACAGAGCUGCGGGCUGCGUGCGCCCCUGCUGCCACCGGGCCUGCCGCGGUGGCUCCCGCGCCCCGCGGCGACUUCCGAACCCGCGCUUCUCUUUGUUCAAGUCCCCGAGCGGCGGCGGGGUCGGAGCCCGCGCCCUGGGCGACUGAGGCGGCCGCAGUCCGCGCCCCGGCGCCCUGGCGAUGCCGGACCAGAUCUGUGUCGGAAUUCGUGGCCGAGACCCUUGAGGACUACAAGGCACCCACUGCCUCUAGCUUCACCAUGGGCACGGCCCAGUGCCGGAACACCGCGGCGGCCACCGAGGAGGAUGCAGUGACUUAUGAUGAUGUGCAUGUGAACUUCACUGGGGAAGAGUGGAAUUUGCUGGAUCCUUCCC